GACGAACCGUCCUAACGUUGUUCGGAAUCACUGGGCUUAAAGGGCGCGUAGGCGGGUGAUCAAGUCAGGGGUGAAAUCUUUCGGCUUAACCGGAAAACAGCCCCUGAUACUGGUUGUCUUGAGGGAGGUAGGGGUAUGUGGAACUUCUGGUGGAGCGGUGAAAUGCGUUGAUAUCAGAAGGAACGCCGGUGGCGAAAGCGACGUACUGGACCUCUUCUGACGCUGAGGCGCGAAAGCUAGGGUAGCGAACGGG
rnacentral:rRNA from 1 species